ensembl:lncRNA
AUGUCCAAGCACCUGCCGUACCGCCAGAACUCCUACCACUGCGAGCACUGCCGCCGGCUGGAGCUGCACGCAGUGCAACAUUGUUUCAGGAAGUGCACCGGGCUGAUCGAGCAAAAGUGUAAACUGCUCAUCGACGGCAUCCUGGCCACGCUGGUCAUCUUCCUGGUCCUGGAGCUGCUGAUCUGCAUCACGGCUAUGCUAUUCGGACUCAGCGUCCUGGCUGCUCGAGGCCGGCAGACUCCCACCAGUAAACCCGCCUACCCUCAGAGCCGCCCCCCUCCCGCCCCCGUGGUGUCAGCUGCUCCUGGUCCCACUGGUCCUCUUGUUCCUGCUGGUCCCACUGGUCCCUCUGGUCCCACUGGUCCCACUGGUCCUGCCGGUCCUGCUGGUCCCUCUGGUCCUACUGUUGCCACUGUCCUGGUGGCCCAGGCUGCUGCAGAACCGUCUCAGGUGGAAGUGUUUGUGACUGAACCUGAUUCUGAGCAGGUGGAGGACGUCACCCCGCCCACCGAGCCCCAGGUGGAGCCCAUGGAGGGGGUCACCUCUGAGCCCUGAGACCGGCCUGAACCUGGACCUUGAACCAAGACCCUGAGCCCGCACCCUGAAUCUGGACAUUGAACGCACCCUGAACCCUGAACCCUGAACCCAGACUCUGAACCCAGACCAUGUACCUGUACCCUGAACCCUUACCCUGAGUCUGGACCUUGAACUCAAACCCUGGGCCUGCACCCUGAAUCUGUACAUUGAACUGACCCUGAACUUGGACCUUGAAUCCUGAACCCACCCUGAACCUGGACCCCGAACCUAGACCCUGGACCCUGAACCCAGGCCAUGAACCUGGAGCACAGCCCUAGCAAUGUACCCCCCUGUCGACCCCUGGUAGGUCCUGUCAUUGGGACUUGGUAGCUGAAAGUCUGAGAGGUUCCUGAGCAGUCCAGGUCUCUGAGUGGUUCCUGAGCGGUCCAGGUCUCUGAGGAGGGUUGGGGUUUCCGUCCCCCCCCAGCCAUGGGAUCUGCUGAUGUUCUGCUGAGUCGGCUCUUCUAACGGACCCGGUCUCUCUUUCACCUGGACUUUUUUUAACUCACAUUUUAAAAUAAACAGCAGUUUUUUUACUGGAACUCUCAAAAACCCGACUCAGCAAACCAGAUUCUCCCAAUCAGACUGUGACCCAGACCUGAAGACCCAGACUGGACUGUGACCCUUCAAAAUAAAGUGAUGAAUCCUAAACUGAUCCUGAACCAUGCCGACUGGAUUUUCCCUUUGACUCUUCAGAACUCUCUUAACAGUUUUCUCCUGUUGAAUGUUUAGUUUUCUAUUUGUAAUAUAACCACCUGUCUGGAGAGCGGCUCUUUAAACUCCUGCUUUUAUUUUUAUAAAGAAUGACCUGCAGAUUUCUUCUGCUGAGCACACAGUCUUUCCUUCAGGCAGGUUUAAUGUAAAAAUGACAUUUCAGUGUUUGAUCUUCCAGUCUCCUUCAUUAAGACCGAGCUGGCGGCUCUGAAAGAGCAUCAAUCCCUCCAGAGACUAAAAACCCUUCAGCACUGAAACACGGUGUUUCCACAGCUCAGCAGCUUCGUGAGUCGUAGACCUUUGCUAGUGUUUAAGGCGCAGAAUGUUUAGCUCCUCAGAGGUCGUCUUCUUCAGUAUAGAUCGAAGUCUUUGUGAAACCACGGGAUGGCAUGAACACAUAACACAUGAAUGUAUAAGGUGAACAUUAAAGUCAUGUAAUCACAGUGAAAAUAAAGGAAAAUCAUGAAAGAUUCAUCUCUGUUGUGUUUAUUUGGCUCA